rnacentral:tRNA from 1 species
GGCGAGAUGGCCGAGCGGUCUAAGGCGCCAGCUUAAGGUUAAUUCCAAAUCGCUGGUCCGAAAGGGCGUGGGUUCAAAUCCCACUCUCGUCA